rnacentral:lncRNA from 1 species
UGAUCUUCAAACCAUGUUUUUUAAUAAGGACUUGGAACAAAUGUGUGCUCUUCCAAGUACAUCAGGGUCCAUCUGUGAACACUUUCAUGGUCCCAUGAUGAAGGUAUGUGGGAUGCAGUCUGGGACAAUCCCAGAAGUAUUUCCUUUGCCAAACAUCUGGGACUUGGCUAUAAUUUGUUUCUUUCCUUGGUUGCCUUUGGCAAGAACUGAUGGCUCAGUGAGUCAGCAUUUCCAUAUAAACAAAGGCCCAAAGAUGGGCAGGCUGCUAGUUCCAGGUCACAGGAUAGAGGAUGGGGCAGGCUGCUAGUUACUGGUCACAGGACAGAGGAUGGGGCAGGCUGCUAGUUCCGGGUCACAGGAUAGAGGAUGGGGCAGGCUGCUAGUUCCAGGUUACAGGAUAGAGGAUGGGGCAGGCUGCUAGUUCCAGGUCACAGGACAGAGGAUGGGGCAGGCUGCUAGUUCCGGGUCACAGGAUAGAGGAUGGGGCAGGCUGCUA